rnacentral:rRNA from 1 species
GUUAGGAAUAUUGGACAAUGGGCGAAAGCCUGAUCCAGCCAUGCCGCGUGAACGAUGAAGGCCUUCGGGUUGUAAAGUUCUUUAGCCGAUGAUUAUAAUGACUGUAGUCGGAAAAUAAGCCCCGGCUAACUUCGUGCCAGCAGCCGCGGUAAUACGAAGGGGGCGAGCGUUAUUCGGAAUCACUGGGCGUAAAGCGUGCGUAGGCGGUUUUGUAAGUUAGGAGUGAAAGCCCAGGGCUCAACCUUGGAAUUGCUCUUAAAACUGCAAGGCUCGAAUCUCGGAGAGGAUAGCGUAAUUUCCAGUGUAGCAGUGAAAUGCGUAGAUAUUGGAAGGAACACCAGUGGCGUAAGCGGCUAUCUGGACGAGUAUUGACGCUGAGGCACGAAAGCGUGGGGAUCAAACAGGAUUAGAUACCCUGGUAGUCC